AUUGAACGCUGGCGGCAGGCCUAACACAUGCAAGUCGAGCGAGAGGCGGACGGGUGAGUAAUGUCUGGGAAACUGCCCGAUGGAGGGGGAUAACUACUGGAAACGGUAGCUAAUACCGCAUACCAUCAGAUGUGCCCAGAUGGGAUUAGCUGGUAGGUGGGGUAACGGGUCACCUAGGCGACGCUCCCUAGCUGGUCUGAGAGGAGGACCAGCCACACUGGAACUGAGACACGGGCCAGACUCCUACGGGAGGCAGCAGUGGGGAAUAUUGCACAAUGGGCGCAAGCCUGAUGCAGCCAUGCCGCGUGUGUGAAGAAGGCCUUCGGGUUGUAAAGCACUUUAAGCGGGGAGGCGUUACCCGCAGAAGAAGCACCGGCUAACUCCGUGCCAGCAGCCGCGGUAAUAC
rnacentral:rRNA from 1 species